GCCGGGGUGCCCGAGCGGACUAAGGGGCUGGCCUGGAGAGCCAGUGGGGGCCAACCCCGCGCGGGUUCGAAUCCCGCCCCCGGCG
rnacentral:tRNA from 2 species